UACAGAGGUCCCAAGCGUUGUUCGGAUUCACUGGGCGUAAAGGGUGCGUAGGUGGUGAGGUAAGUCGGAUGUGAAAGCUCGGAGCUCAACUCCGAAAUGGCAUUGGAAACUACCUUGCUCGAGGGUUGGAGGGGGGACUGGAAUUUACGGUGUAGCAGUGAAAUGCGUAGAUAUCGUAAGGAAGACCAGUGGCGAAGGCGGGUCUCUGGACAGUUCCUGACACUGAGACACGAAGGCCAGGGGAGCAAACGGG
rnacentral:rRNA from 1 species